rnacentral:lncRNA from 1 species
GUUUCACAAGAGAACACCAGCACCACCCGAGUGAGUGAGGAAGUCUAAAGCUGCAAGCACUCUCACAAGAGUGAGGGGGAGGGUGCAGUUCAGGAAGGUUAACGGGCCAAGAAUUAGGAGAGGGUCCUCUGCUCCUUUGUUAGAGAGGAAGACAGGCUGAAGAGUCAGCUUCAUGUGCAGAGUCCGUUACUUCCGUUGUAGCUUUGGGCAUGUUUAUUCUCUGUGCCUCAGUUUCUCCUCUGUACAAAUAAGUACCCAUCUCACAGCAUUCCAAGUUUGAACUGAGCUGCUAAUGGGCUAGAACAGUGCCGGCUACAUAGGGGAAAAGUCGUUUUGGAGAUGGAAGUGAUUGGCUGGGCCUGCUGGGAGGAGAACGCAUCAGGGACUUCUUUAUGAGGCUUCCCUCCCACAGCUUUAAAGGGUGAAACCCAAGAAGCACCUUCUAUCGAUACAAGCAGAGGGUAUGGAGUAAACUCACAAGCCCAGGAUCAAGCAUGAUUGAAAUGAAUUCUCUGGGAAGUCAAAACAGGAUGAAAUGACAAAGGCCACACAAUAUUCUAGACUUCUGCGCCUACAGGUGUUGAUCCUAACAGCACUGCCUGCCCGCUGAUCCCGGAGUCUGCUUCCUGGGAUCCAAGCCAU